AAUUUUAGGGCCCUGGAGCAAAGCUCCAGCGGUCCCACCCUAGCUAAAUCCCUAGCACAGAUUUUAUGAACCCACCAGUCCUCGACGCCACCACCAACCACGGCCAUCAAACAGUGGAGGCUUGGAAUAUCUCCCCCUCACUCUUCAGAACCGACACCAAGACAUUCCUUCUCUUUCAGUGACUGAGGCUUUAGAAUGAGGACUCCCUUGAACAAGAUUCCGGUGCUUGGCAUCUUGUUCCUGAUGCUCUCUUUCCCAACAGGGGGAAGGACUAUUAGAGUAACCAGAGGCUGCACAAAUGUAUGCAGGAACUUCAUACAUGUGGUGAAGAGCAGCUUAGAACAUAAUUGGUGCUGCGAGCGUGAUUAUUGUAACACCUAUAAUGCUUGGUCCUGGGAAACACUGUUAUGAAUGCCUCGUGGAUUUGGCGUAGCCCUUUCAUGCCUACAACAGUCUGGAAAAAUAAAGAGUUUGAAUCAUGCA
rnacentral:lncRNA from 1 species